UACGUAGGGGGCAAGCGUUGUCCGGAAUCAUUGGGCGUAAAGCGCGUGUAGGCGGCUCGGUAAGUCUGCUGUGAAAGUCCAGGGCUCAACCCUGGGAUGCCGGUGGAUACUGUCGAGCUCGAGUCCGGAAGAGGCGAGUGGAAUUCCUGGUGUAGCGGUGAAAUGCGCAGGAUAUCAGGAGGAACACCUAUUGCGAAGGCAGCU
rnacentral:rRNA from 1 species